UAGGGAAUCUUCCACAAUGGGCGCAAGCCUGAUGGAGCAACACCGCGUGAGUGAAGAAGGGUUUCGGCUCGUAAAGCUCUGUUGUUAAAGAAGAACACGUAUGAGAGUAACUGUUCAUACGUUGACGGUAUUUAACCAGAAAGUCACGGCUAACUACGUGCCCAG
rnacentral:rRNA from 1 species